UGCGCAGGCGGACUUUUAAGUCAGUGGUGAAAUCCCGAGGCGCAACCUCGGAACUGCCAUUGAUACUGGAAGUCUUGAAUUUGGUUGAAGUGGGCGGAAUGUAGCAUGUAGCGGUGAAAUGCUUAGAUAUGCUACAGAACACCGAUCGCGAAGGCAGCUCACUAAGCCAAUAUUGACGCUCAGGCACGAAAGCGUGGGGAGCAAACAGGAUUAGAUACCCUGGUAGUCC
rnacentral:rRNA from 1 species